AAUCAAAUAGAUAUCCUGACAGAAAAAAAUGCAUAAUGGGUUGUAAGGGUCUUAUAGACGAAUGCAGAAUUGGUUGUGAAGAGGCAUGUGACAAAAUGUUUAGACAUAAAAAACCCAAUACAGGGAAACCACACGCA